rnacentral:rRNA from 1 species
GUGGGGAAUCUUGCGCAAUGGGCGAAAGCCUGACGCAGCCAUGCCGCGUGGAUGAUGAAGGUCUUAGGAUUGUAAAAUCCUUUCACCGGUGAAGAUAAUGACUGUAGCCGGAGAAGACGCCCCGGCUAACUUCGUGCCAGCAGCCGCGGUAAUACGAAGGGGGCUAGCGUUGCUCGGAUUUACUGGGCGUAAAGGGCGCGUAGGCGGACAUUUAAGUCAGGGGUGAAAUCCCGGGGCUCAACCUCGGAACUGCCUUUGAUACUGGGUGUCUUGAGUAUGAGAGAGGUGUGUGGAACUCCGAGUGUAGAGGUGAAAUUCGUAGAUAUUCGGAAGAACACCAGUGGCGAAGGCGACACACUGGCUCAUUACUGACGCUGAGGCGCGAAAGCGUGGGGAGCAAACAGGAUUAGAAACCCGUGUAGUCC